rnacentral:rRNA from 1 species
AGUGAACGCUGGCGGCGUGCCUAAUACAUGCAAGUCGAACGAAGUGGCGCACGGGUGAGUAAUAUAUAGUUAAUCUGCCCAACACAGAGGAACAACAGUUGGAAACGACUGAUAAUACCUCAUAGUGUAUGAUGAGACGAUAUCGUAUCAGCUAGUUGGUAAGGUAAUGACGUACCAAGGCUAUGACGCGUAACUGGUCUUAGAUGAUGAUCAGGCACAUUGGAACGUAGACACGAUCCAGACUCCUUCGGAAAGCAGCAGUAGGGUAGAUUACGCAAUGGGUGAAACCCUGACGCAGCAUCGCCGCGUGGAGGAUGACACUUUUCGGAGCAUAAACUCCUUUUAUCAGCCUAGCGGUACCUGAUGAAUAAGCACCGGCUAACUCCGUGCCAGCAGCCGCGGUAAUAC